AAGCAAGGGCGGCGUCGAUCCACGAACCCGAAAUUGGUCGCUAUCUUUUCCAUGGGGGAAAGCGGGAUGUGGGGAGCCAAUAGCGAAACCGGCCCGAAUGGUU
rnacentral:ncRNA from 25 species